GACGUAGGGCGCGAGCGUUGUCCGGAAUUAUUGGGCGUAAAGAGCUCGUAGGCGGUGUGUCGCGUCGGCCGUGAAAACCUGCAGCUUAACUGUGGGCGUGCGGUCGAUACGGGCAUCACUGGAGUUCGGCAGGGGAGACUGGAAUUCCUGGUGUAGCGGUGAAAUGCGUAGAUAUCAUCUGGAACGCCAAUGGUGAAAACAGCUCGCUGGGGGUUUGCAGACGCUGAGACACGAAAGCCAGGGGAGCAAACGGG
rnacentral:rRNA from 1 species